UGGGGAAUUUUGGACAAUGGGCGCAAGCCUGAUCCAGCCAUGCCGCGUGCGGGAAGAAGGCCUUCGGGUUGUAAACCGCUUUCGGCCGGAACGAAAUCGCCCGGGUGAACAUCCCGGGUGGAUGACGGUACCGGAAGAAGAAGCACCGGCUAACUACGUGCCAGCAGCCGCGGUAAUACGUAGGGUGCGAGCGUUAAUCGGAAUUACUGGGCGUAAAGCGUGCGCAGGCGGUCUCGUAAGACAGGUGUGAAAUCCCCGGGCUCAACCUGGGAACUGCGCUUGUGACUGCGAGGCUGGAGUGUGGCAGAGGGAGGUGGAAUUCCACGUGUAGCAGUGAAAUGCGUAGAGAUGUGGAGGAACACCGAUGGCGAAGGCAGCCUCCUGGGCCAGCACUGACGCUCAUGCACGAAAGCGUGGGGAGCAAACAGG
rnacentral:rRNA from 1 species